UACAGAGGUCUCAAGCGUUGUUCGGAUUCAUUGGGCGUAAAGGGUGCGUAGGCGGCGCGGUAAGUCGGGUGUGAAAUUUCGGAGCUUAACUCCGAAACUGCAUUUGAUACUGCGGUGCUUGAGGACUGGAGAGGAGACUGGAAUUUACGGUGUAGCAGUGAAAUGCGUAGAGAUCGUAAGGAAGACCAGUGGCGAAGGCGGGUCUCUGGACAGUUCCUGACACUGAGGCACGAAGGCCAGGGGAGCAAACGGG
rnacentral:rRNA from 1 species